GGGCCCGCACAAGCGGUGGAGUAUGUGGUUUAAUUCGAUGCAACGCGAAGAACCUUACCAGGGUUUGACAUCCUGCGAAUUUCUGGGAAACCGGAAAGUGCCUUCGGGAGCGCAGUGACAGGUGGUGCAUGGCUGUCGUCAGCUCGUGUCGUGAGAUGUUGGGUUAAGUCCCGCAACGAGCGCAACCCACGUCUUUAGUUGCCAGCAUUUAGUUGGGCACUCUAGAGAGACCGCCGGUGAUAAACCGGAGGAAGGUGUGGAUGACGUCAAGUCAUCAUGCCCCUUACGGGUUGGGCUACACACGUGCUACAAUGGUGGUGACAAUGGGUUAAUCCCAAAAAGCCAUCUCAGUUCGGAUUGGGGUCUGCAACUCGACCCCAUGAAGUCGGAAUCGCUAG
rnacentral:rRNA from 1 species